CGCCUUCUAUUGUGAAGACAGCCAUUACCCAGGAUGGUGGGGACCUGGACAAUAAGAGGGUUUUGGAGGAGGCCUCUCUGCCCCCUUAGUUUUGACUCUCUUGUCUGUUCUUAUCUUUUCCUCCUGGGGUUCUAAGAAUCCACCCCUGGGCACACCACCGCCUCAAGUUGGAGAGAAGUGAGGGAGAGGGUGAAGAUGAUAGAAGAAAGAGUGAUCUCUCUACACUGGGGGCCCAACCACCCAGAGCCAACCCUGAUGGCCUCCUCCCUGCCUUCCUCCAGGAGGGAGCCCAGUGUCCCUCUCUGGGCUCCUUCCUCCAGGUUCUCCUGGAUCCACAGCCACGCAGCCCUGCUUUGGUCGAUGGCUCCAGUGGCUGGGUGUGCUGUAUGGGAUCAUCCACCUCUUUCUCUUCCUGCCCUGAGUGGCCUCGUACAGCCCAUUCCACGUUCCGCGAUGCAGGCCUGGAGCUGUUUGGUGCGGUGUUGCUGUUCACCAAGAUUCUGUUGCCUUCUGUUUUUCUGCUAGCAUGCAUCCUUCAAUUUCAUUACUUUAAUGAAGACUUUCUGAAGACCACCAGCCUGCAUAAUAUUCCUAUUCAACAGAAAGGCACACCUGACAGAAGCAGUUUUCUAAGCCCUGGUCCAGAGGGGGACACAGAAAUAUUAACAGAUACCUGGAGUAUGGGGAGAGUGAUGUUAUGGCAGAAGGUGAUACAGAAAACUGUGGAAGCAGAGAGGAGGGAGCCUUGUUUGGAAGCCGAGGGGCCUUGCUAUAGGUAUUUAG
rnacentral:lncRNA from 13 species